GACGAACGCUGGCGGCGUGCUUAACACAUGCAAGUCGAACGGGCCUUGUCCCCUUUUUUUUGGGGGUGGGGUUAGUGGCGAACGGGUGAGUAACACGUGAGUAACCUGCCCCUCACUUCUGGAUAACCGCUUGAAAGGGUGGCUAAUACGGGGUGUUCUGGCCUGCUCGCAUGGGUGGGUUUGGAAAGAUUCGACCGGUUUUGGUUGUUUUGGUGGGGGAUGGGCUCGCGGCCUAUCAGCUUGUUGGUGGGGUGAUGGCCUGCCAAGGCUUUGACGGGUAGCCGGCCUGAGGGGGUGGGCGGUCACACUGGGACUGAGACACGGCCCAGACUCCUACGGGAGGCAGCAGUGGGGAAUAUUGCACAAUGGGCGCAAGCCUGAUGCAGCGACGCCGCGUGAGGGAUGGAGGCCUUCGGGUUGUGAACCUCUUUCGCCAGUGAAGAAGGUCCUGCUCUUUGUGGUGGGGUUGACGGUAGCUGGGUUAAUGAAGCGCCGGCUAACUACGUG
rnacentral:rRNA from 1 species